GUAAAUUGCUGGGCAGGUGGGGGAGGGCUAGUCAUGGAAGGAAACUGUAAGCCGGACCAGGUGUGAGGAGGGGAGGUGAUAAAAAGAUUAUAGGGUGAAGGAGCAGAGGCUGAGGAAGAAUUGGGACCUAGCUCGGCCUGGGAGGUCUCCUGAUCCGAGUCACGGCACCAAAUCUCAUGCAUGUCCAUGUGAAGAGAGCACCAAACAGGCUUUGUGUGAGCAAUAAAGCUG
rnacentral:lncRNA from 10 species